CGGUGGGUCUUAGGCGGGGGGGUAGGGGUCCCUUGCACCGUAAACCCUCUACAUGACGGGCUGACAGCUGAGGCUGAGGCGUCAAAGGCCGCUUGGACCUUCCUUUCCGAAACAUUGACUAUCCGUCCCUUGAGGCUGGCGGUCAAUGAGGAGCUUCCGUAGGGAAGCCGAUUUCAUAGUUCACCAGGCGAACCCGGCCAGGCUCGGGAGAGAGCAACCUAAGUCUGGACGUUCAGCGCUCAAGGGGGGGCGCCAAACGGAGUCUAGGCGUCAAACCACAGUGGUCCACCG
rnacentral:SRP_RNA from 1 species